rnacentral:rRNA from 1 species
UACGAAGGGGGCUAGCGUUGUUCGGAAUUACUGGGCGUAAAGCGCGCGCAGGCGGUCUUCCAAGUCAGUGGUGAAAGCCCGGAGCUCAACUCCGGAACUGCCAUUGAAACUGUUAGACUUGAGGGCGAGAGAGGUGAGUGGAAUUCCCAGUGUAGAGGUGAAAUUCGUAGAUAUUGGGAAGAACACCGGUGGCGAAGGCGGCUCACUGGCUCGUAUCUGACGCUCAGGCGCGACAGCGUGGGGAUCAAACAGG